AAGUGAUAGUUUAGGGUGGUUUUAUUUGCAAGCUGGGAGGGGAUCAUAGGGUAUGGAGUCACGAGGUUGAUCAAGGUUGGUUACAAAGUCAAAUGGCCUUAUCAAUCAGGGCAGGAAUAAGGAACAAUAGAGAAUGUCUCAAAGUUAAGUAAGCACUGCACGGGUUGAUCAUUUCUUUCUCUUUUC